GCGCCAACAAAGUGCACAUCCUUAGUAUGGGGGGGGGGGAGUAAAAGAAGGCAGAUGAGGAGACACGGGAGAAGUCCCCCGCAGCAAAUAAAAAGUCCACUUUUCUUGAGGUGGGAGGGAGAGAUCCCGAAAUUCGUCGAAGCUGGAACACUGAGGGAUUUCGGACACCGGGGUUUUGAAACAUCAUUUUUUGUAUCAUAACUCUAAAUUGGGGUGGGGGUUCUUGAAACAUCCCCUUCUAGGAUCCAGCCCAACCUUCAAAAAAGUCUACCCCAAACUUGAUUCAGCCACAGCUUGCUUUGGGCGGUGUUGUGGCCAAGACAGGGUCCCCAGCGCAGGCGUUGCAACCGGACCCCGCUCUGGUGCGGGCACAGGUGUCAGCCUGAGCUGGAAUUAUGUAAUGGAUUUGGUGGCCUGGGUUCCUACCAAAGGGAAUUAGAGAGGGCGAGGCUUUCUCUUUUCUUUUCCUUUCGACUACAUCUGGUGUCAGGUAUACGGGAUUUGUGUCAAGCAGGUGUGAUUUGAAGGAAAAGUACACGGGAAAUGGCGGCCAAGCUCAAAGUGCUCUGGAAAGCGGCCAGACAGCCUGCCAUCUCCUCCUCAGCCGCUCACCUGAGGACCUUGCAGGUGCCCUGGAUUCCAAGCAGGAUAAGCAAAUGGGGGGUGUGGAGUGCUGUCCUCCUUGUUAGAAGCUGUGGGGGUUCUAUCCUGAUGCGUUGUGUGAGCUUACUGAACCCCUCCUCUCCUGAGCAUGAGUGUGAGUGUAGAUAAAAAAUUAAAUUGUGUGUGUGUGUGUGUGUGUGUGUGUGUGUAGCAUCCAAAGUGAUGUAAGAUGUAUGUACUCCUUUAAGAGUAUUAUAACUUUAAUAAUCUGUGCAGAGACAAGUCUCUACAUUUAAAUGCAAGAACUGAGUCAGGACCUUUUCUAAGAGGUAAAGUGGCAGGCACAGCCCUGAGUGGAAUAUAUUAUACCAAUUUUGGUGACUAGAGAAGAUUUCCAACAGGGCCAACUGGUGUUUCAUUAGGCAGAAAGGUAGGAGACUUGAAGAAUAAUGACCCCACUCAACAAUCACCAAUCCCUUCUGACACUACUUUGUUGCCAUUCUGAAAUUUGACACCCACAGAUAUUGAAACCUUGGAUAACCAAAGGAAUUAUUUGAGCCUUAAAAAGUCACAUGCUGAAUUAGGGGAGAGGCCCUAAUUUUUUUUAUGAUCAAACAGAAUAGCUUUUAACUGGUGAACAUGAGGCCUAAAUUUGAACUUCUCCAUUGAUUUCUGAAAGGAAUAUUCAUUCAAGGUGAUCAAAAUGGCAGGUUAAAAAAAUAACAGUAAGAGAAUUGUAGCAGAAUAUCCACAUGGUGACCACAGGGCACACAGGGCACAGAGUUGGGUAUGCAGUGGCAAUACACAGGGGGGGCUGUGAAUCCUGGCUCCUUAAUUCAGAUUGGUGAAUUUAGGCAAAAACUCACAGGUUAGAAAGGCUUGGUUCCAUCACAUGAAUGAAGUCCCAUCUCUGUAGACUAUGCCCACUUACAGAGUUCCCGCUAGAAAACAGGCAAUCUCUCUCUGUUGAUAUUUCUAUGACCUCAGAACGCCCUUGAGCUCACUGUUAAUUAUUGUAAGAACUAUCAGCAGUGACUACUUGCAAACUACUUUUCUUACAAGUCUCUGAGAGAUUGGCAGGAAAAGCGUUUCUUGUGGUGGUAAAGGUUCAACUGGCGCCAUUACUAUGCCAUAAUCAGUGUUGCUUGGUAGUGAAUGUUCUGACUUUCCUGGCUGUGGCGAAAGCCAUUGUUUUUUACAGGAGCUAUCAGUGAGAAGAAUGCAGCAGCACUCCAUAGCUAUCUCUACUUGGGGGCAAGCUUGACUCUCUACAUGAACCUCAACUGUAGGUCUUUUAGGCCAGUGGAAUAUUCUGUAGCGACAGGGGAGAACAGUCUAACAUAAAAACUGUCUGGUCAGUGACAGGAUUUGGAGAGAGAAAGCCUUUUCCUCUUCUUCCCCCUCUUCCUCACAGAAUCAGGCCACAUUUCCAAGUCUCUCAUGGAAGCCAUGCUCCCAGCGCCAGCAGCAGACUGCCAGACACACCUUGGGGCUUUACUGACUUCCUCCCAAACAGUUCUGCAGCUUGCCAACAGGCGGGUUGUGUGAGAUGUCAGCCGCUAUCUGGUGUCUACUGUAAGCUGUCUGGCCCAUUUUGGGAGUGUGCACAAGCAACUCUGACAAUGUAUACCAGUUGAGUAGAAGAACUGGAGUGCAAUUUAUGAAGUUGUCUAUCUCAGGUAUAAGGAGAGGUUUUGCAAGCUGUGGGGACUUUCUUAAACCCAGCCGCAGGCACCUGUGGGCUUUCUCUAUGUCUUAAACAUCUGCAAUCUAAACCUGUGAUUGUCACACCCUUUUACCUCCUGUGUGAGUGUCUCAUAAUUUCAAACAAAGACAGCCAAACAUCUACAAUUAGUAUUCAACAAGCAAGGGUGGUUAAUUAUUGCUCAACUGUUAAAUGACACACAAUAAAGGCUCUCUCUGGCCUGUCAUUGUACUGUAGUCUGAAUGUUGUUCUUAUACAAACACUCACUUCACAAUGUUUAGGAGAUGCUGUGGGAUGCAGAACUUUUAUCCACAGACACCGGAUCCAUAUCAGUGCAGCAUUAUGAAGCAUCUGGGGGGCACCGCUGUGGCUGGGAUGUUUGUUCUUGGCACCGAGAUGCAAGGGCACAGGCUGGGCUCUUUGCUCUUCGUUUGUUUUCCUAUUGCUGCUCUCCAAGAGAAUCUUGGAAAUCCCAGUCAGAGCGGUGAAAUAUGACCUCCGCUUUAUAGAGUUCCUAGUCAGCUCAUUCUGCUCAAGGGAAAUAUUUUUAUUUGCCUUCGAUUAACAUAAUUUUUCAAAGAACAACUUCGUUUUCCAUUUUACUUUAAGUCCAUGGUAGGCAUAAAUUAGCCACAUCCUUGUUAUUCUGAAAUAAAGUUUGGAGGCAAGUGAGUCCUUAUACCAGAUGCUGAACAAAAUAAUGUCCAGGAAGUUCUUCCUGCCCUAGCAUAGGUGCAUAAAGUACAACAGUAGUCUGUCAACUAAGUGUGAAAACCCCUUAGUGUUGCGAUCCAUUUGGUAGUCUCACUGUAAUGGCAGAAACGAGAUGGUUACCGCGACACCAUUGCUAUUAUUGAAAUUAAACAGCUUUGGGAGAAUAUAAUUGCUAAUAAAAGGCUUCUUCUCCACGCCCCUUAAGGGUUCCCUCCCCCACUCUGACAUUUUAUGAUGUGCCAUUCAGAUGAAUGUACGUAGAGUUAUGUGGAACCUAGCGGCCUACUGUACAAGGUCGGAUCUAGAGAUCAGCAAGGAAGUGAAGAUGGGGAGCUCACUGUAUUUAGGGAUGGUUGUCUGGGAAAACGCACUCGUGUGUUUAGAUAUCGAUGUUUAAACUUUUUCUCUUUAUGAAUGCGUCACAAUUUUUCAAACCGAUCGCGUGCACCCUCCGUGGUACCCCCGUGUCUGUGCAUUAAAGGCGUCCAUGAAAUCAUUGUACGGGGCUGGUUUAGUGCGUUUAACAGAGAACUAAUGGGUUGUCUGUGUCGGGGAAAGCAAGGUCCUAUUUUUAAUCCCAUCACGUACUGAAGCGGUUUUGUGUGGAUCUGUGGCUUCCACCUUUAUCCAUCCUGGUAGUUCCUACUGAAGAAAAUCCAAACGCUCCCAGCUUCGGACGGGUGCCAAAAUGUCCUGCUUUCUGCACUACUGAUCGCUUUUUAUUUUCAGCUUAUUUUCGUCUUACUUAACAAUAAUAAAUGACCCUUGCAGUGUAAAACCUUAGUUUAAAUGAUCCGGGGAGCUCCUGUGUCUUUUUUCUUUUUACUUCGAAAUGUUAUGUCAAAUACUCGAUACGUUUAACUUGCUCGUAUCUCCAAGAAACUGGAGACCAAAGCUACUUUUGUGCUGGAUUUUACCUUCUUUCUUGCCCAGAACGUGCGCUGCGCGCGUAAAUACACACACGCGCUGCGCUCAUGCGUGAGCACAAACAUACACAUACACACACACACACACACGCACACACACACACACACACACACACACGGGGGGGGAGAGAGAGAGAGAGAGAGAGAGAGAGAGAGAGAGAGAGAGAGAGAGAGAGAGAGAGAGAGAAAGCAAAAAAAGAGGAAGGUGCUUAGAAGAGGCAGGGAUGCCCGGUGAAAAGCAGAGAGUCGGGGAUCCGGCUUAACCCAGGCAUUUGGGAAGGGGGGCUGGAGGUGGAACACGACUCAACGGACCGCAGCCGCUCUGGCUAGGGCGGUAGAGCGCCAGGGUGAGAGGGUGAGGAUGCCCUGCGGGCUUCCGCACUACUCUGACACCAAACAGAAUGGCUAGGCUCCGGUGGUGAAGUAAAAGUUCCCGGUGGCGUGAAGGCGGUGGAUAGCCACCUUGCCCGUGCACGGAGGCUGUCUGGGGAAGCGGCCUCGAGGGCUGGAUGGACUGGGUGGAAGCCCUCGCAGGGGGUCCUACGGCUCUAGCUUUUGUACCGCCCCGCCUAGGCCAGUCCGGAGCUGACGCACCAGCUCCCCAGAGACGCUGGGGGCGUCGCACUGCAGCUGGGUGGGGAGCAAUUUAUUCCUGGCGGUCACAUCCCACCCCAUCUUCUGUUACUCCACCCUACCCUCCCAUCCCUCCACCUCUUCCUCCUCCUUUUCUACCAACGCCCGCACUAUCUUCUGGUUCUUCUCCUCCUCACCCUCCACUCCCCCUCUCUCCCUUCUUUUCUUUUCUCCCUUCCCCUCCCCCUCUUCUGAAUAACCAAGCUGUUUUGCCUCCGAAAGGGGAGAGAGAGAGAGAGAGAGAGAGAGAGAGAGAGAGAGAGAGAGAGAGAGAGAGAGAGAGAGAGAGAGGCCUGCGGUGACUGGAAGACAGGAGGGAAUCUGGAUCUGGUACAUCUGGGAAGUGGAAACUUGAUGCUUCUGGGCGGUGAUUUGCCAAGGCCUCGCCAAAGGAAGGCUUUCAUUUUUCAAGAAGAAACUUUAAUACACAGCAAGAUAUAAGGCUCAUUGAGAAGGAAUGACAUAAGAAUAGGACUCUGUCGUAGUCAGCAUCAGCAGCGUUACUUUAGUCCUGGACACACAAGCAUAUGCAUAUGUCACCGAACAUGCUCCUAUCCACUUUUGAGAAAAUUAGAACAAAAACCGCAUUUAUAAAAAUGAGCUAGUCUUCUUGAACGUUUGAGAGACAUUUUUAAAUAAAAAAGAACAUAGAAAAAUUUUAAUCUUCUGCUUUUAGGGAAACUAAGAGCUUCCUGUUUUAUUUAAAGAAAAAUGAAAUUGGGAAACUUUUGCAAUUGUUCAAAAUGAAGACCAUAACUUGACUAUACCAAGGCUUCUCCCCCACGUGUGUUAGAUGUGUUAGACCCUUGUUCCAUUCAGUACUCUACAGACAAGAGCAUUUGAUAGGAAGUCUCGACCUUUGAUUAACAGGUGCAUUUAUUGUAUUAAAAACUGGGAUUUGUUAAUAAGUGAUAUUUUAAAUUGAAACCUCAAAGAAUUCAGCUAGUUCAAAUGCUCCAGUGUUCUACAAGGAAGGCAUCUGCCCUACUAUUUGAACUGGUUAGUAUCUGGACCAUAGUAGGGUUUCAGAGGCUCCUGCCUCCUCAGAACCUGGUACAAGAAAAGGAAACACAGAGUGGGAGGGGAUGCUGGGUCCCCUCCCUCCUCUACUCACUGCCAGGACCACCUGCACCCACCACAUCUUCUAAAGGAAAUGGCCAUUUGGUUUUAUGGGGAAAACCCAUAAGACAAAGUCUAGCACACACACAUUGCAGUCAGACGUAUAUUACACAAAGUGCAUAUUCUUUAACGUAUCUACUUUGCUAUACACGCUGUGUGUGUGUGUGUGUGUGUGUGUGUGUGUGUGUGUGUGUGUGUGUGUAGAUCUCAAAACAUCACCCUCUCUCUAAGUUUCCCCUAAUUUGGGGAGUUAAUAAUAUCAUAGUUCUUAAUGAAAGAAAGGCUGUCAAUUUCUGGGUGAAGUGAGGUACAAUAAAGGUGCACAUGCCAUCCAGAAGGACUUAAGCAAUUGGCAGGCCUGCGGUGCCAGGCAUCUGCAAAGAUACAGUCUUCAUUUGUCGCUGGAAAGAUAUGAGGGUGAAGGGGACUGUAAUAUAAACCCAAGCAAACUAGGAUUUCGACAUUCACCUGGGUCUCCCUUAGGCUGUGGUCAACAGCAUUUGCAGGUCCCUAGGCUUCCAGAAGAAAGGAUUUUCGACUAGAGGUUUUGUGUGUUGCCUGUGCAAUCAGGUCCCUUCUGUAGGCCCCCUAGGGCCAUCUUGAAGCUAUAUAGCUUUUCCUUUCUUUGUACAGUAAUGGCUAUAGAAGUCCCGAGAGUCUUGAACAUAAAGCUCUUGAAGCCCCCUAUGUCCAGAGAAUUCUGGUUCUCCCAGGCCAGGGCCGCUCCGACGACCCCAAGCGUGGUGCUCAAGAGGCCAGUAGGUGUCGCUGUUUCCCUGCUGGCAGGAGCCUGGAGCCCGACGUUGGCCCCUAGCACCACUCAGUUUUCUGGCCCGGGUGAUUUCCUAGACGCCUUUCAGCUCUGGGAUUGUGGCAGUUCCCUUAUUUUGUUUCUAGAACCCUUGUCUAGUCCUCUUGGCUGCGACCACAGCACCAGUGGUCGGUCUAUGGAGAGAGACAGGAGAGACGAAUUUGGUGGGGCCCAAAGGCCGCCCUAAUUGAAAAAACAGAAAGCCCGCUUCACCUGCUCGCUCUCUCCUUUCUCUUCACAAGCCUAGAGUGGCAUCGGAGCUAUCGGGAGCAGAUUGAUAAAACCCUAAAUUAAGGAAUUCAGACACGGUUGUACUUCGAAUUAGAAAAUUAAGAAAAAAUAAGAGGUUCAAAAUCUAGCUUCGCAGGAAUCGCUCACAGAGUUUUAAUAUUCCUUAUCUCAAAAGACAAGGAUGGAGGAGAAAGGGAGGAAGGGAGGGAGGGAGAGAGGGAGAGAGCUCCGGGGAGAGAGAGAGAGAGAGAGAGAGAGAGAGAGAGAGAGAGAGAGAGAGAGAGAGAGAGAGAGAACAAGCUAGGCCUGGACUUUGAGUUACCUAUGGUCUUACCCACAUAUCUGUAUGCAGAAUGUCGGGUGAUUGCAGGGCCUCCCUUUUUGCUCUGGUCCAGAAAGGAAAUUUUGAACUACACUAGUCUUCCUCACCAUCCUCCCCGAAGCAUUGCUUACUAAGUAUUAAUCUCCAUUGGAUAGUAUUAGCUCAUCUUUGGAAUCGGUACUAAAAUUCUAGGUAUUGAAAAUUGUGUUCCUUUCUCUGAUGUCUGUGGUCCCCUGUCUUUGGUUCAAUAUGCCGCGUAAGCGAUUAUUAAACAGAGGCAUUCUUUUUGUGUGUGUGUGUGGUGGGGAGGUAUUUGGCUUGCAGAUUCCACGGGACAUUUACAAUGGUUACAUCCUAUAGACGGCUGGUUUUAUUGAGAUUAGGAUUUCUUUGCAUAGGGAAAUCCUCUGGUUAAAAGGUGGCAAGGGGAAAUGGCAAGAAACACCCUAAAUUCACAAUCUUGUGCAUUCGCAAGAGGUAGUGUGGAGAUAGAACUAGCUCUCCAUUUAAUUUGAUUGUAAAACAAUAUCUUCCAUCGAGAGGUUGCUGUGUGACUGGAAAAAAAAGACUUAUACUACUGCAUUUUUGUGUAAAAGUUAAACAUUCGUAGAGAGGAAAACUCUAACAAAUAUAAAACUAGUAGAUAGGGGAAAAUCUCAUUUAAAAUUCCAAGUAUGUUCGAAUAAUUUUGUUCUGGUGUCAAGAUUGAGGCCUUAUCACUUCUGGACCCGUAGCGCAAGAGGUUGCAAAUUCACAGAGAGGCUGACUUUUUAGCAAGAGUUCAUAAAUAUCUUCAUUAAACGUCAUGCCUUUUGCUAUGCUUCUUACAGUCGGCUUCUUUCUCUAAAGUCAUGUCUUUUUACACAAUUUUUAAAAAAAUCAUUUCUGAUCGAGACAGCAGAUUCAUCUCUGGGGGUGGGGUAGGACGGACACGUUUCUAAUUGGAGGUUGUGAAGUUCAAUGAGAUGGUAUUUUUAGCUCGAAAUGCUCAGAUUCGUGUCUUUUUAUAUUUUCCCUGUCUCAUCCUGUCCGUUUUCCGUUUCACUCAACUCUUUCAUUUUCCUCUUUCCUGCCUGUCUUCCUUCCUCCCUCUAGAGCGCCUCUUCCACUUCCUUCGCUUCUUCUGUUUCCUGCUUCUUUCUCUCUCCCGCUCUCUUUCUUGUAUAACUUAUUGUUUGAUUCUAUCAGUCAAGUUAAUAUGAAAAUAGCAAGUGGGAGGCCCAGCACCUUAAUCUGGCCUCUCCCCUACGCAUUAGGCAUUAGGGACUUUAGGGAGGUGUCCGUAGCUACCAGGUUAUAGACCAGCGCGCUGGCCCUAGGUGCAGAGCACGCUGCUGGUGGAGGAGUUGGGGUCCGCCUAGGGUUGCGGGGCUUAUUCAAAUACCGCCUGCUGCUGCUGUGAUUCGCAGGGACUCGGCCUCCAUAUGGUAAUGCGGGGCGGGGGUGGGGUGGGGUGGAGGGAGGCACAGAGGGGAGGGGAGGAGAGGAUGGGGUUGAGGGCGGGAGGGAGGGGGCUCCGACACCGCGCGCUCUGCUGCUGUGCUGGGACAGAGCACCGGGACCCGCGGCAGCGGCGGCAGCGGCGCUACCCACCCUCCUUCGCAGCACUCUUCGAGCCAGGAAGCCACCAAGCCAUGGGCCCUCGGGACGCCUAAAGGAGCCUGUUUGUGUGCUGUGGCCACGUUCUGCUGUGACUGGAUCUUGUCUUCUGCCUGGGUCCUCGAUUUCCGUCCGGCUGAAUUUGGGGACAACACUGCUUGGCGCAGACAGAUCAAAUGAGACUUCAAAGAAGCAUAUCCUGAACAAGCUAUUCAAUCAACCAAAGGCCGGGGCAGCAGUACGCCAGCAAGACGCAUCUUCUCCCCGCCUAGAAGUCCUGAGAAAUCGAGGAUCUCUCCUAAAACAUUCAUAUACAAGAUAUGUGCAAUCAAGCUUCCAGCACUUGGUACAAAGCUCAUGAUGCCUAACCCAGUGAUCCGGAGCAGAUCUUUGAAUCAGCUGUCACUUCUAUAGAAUGGGAUUUUCCCCUUCUUCCUCUUUAACCAGCGUUGGAAACUGCCUAUGGCUUUACACAUCUCAGUAGAGGAAGGCUAAAGAAUCUUACGUGAGAAUGAAGCAAUUUACAAUGCAAAUAGAGGCCUGUGAAGAGCUGGACGCUGCUGCUCUACCCCCAACAGCUUGCUGCACCUUAGUCGCUGGUCUUAUUUUCCGAUACUAAUAGAUGAAUUGUUGGCUAACGAUGCUGGAGAUUACUUGCUGGAAGGGGAAAGAAAAAGUUUGGAAUAAAUUCUGAAUGCAACAGAUCUCAUUUGGAUGUUCUAGACGCAUACACCCAGACAGAAACCAGGUCAUGUUUACAUGAAAGGAGAAUCUUAAACGCGGCGAAUAUCCUUCCCUGAGGACUAUGCUUCCCCCAAACCAACGAGGAUCCGGAUCUGGAGUCCAGCCAGAGGAAGACAGCCUUGUGAGGGAAGCGAGUUGUUAUCUUUGGUUAUCUAGCUGUAUGAGUGUAUUGGUCUUCAUAAAGCUAGAUAACCGAAAGUAAAAACUCCUUCAAGAUCACCGAGGAGUGCUCCGGAAAGAAAGACUACAGUCAAGAGACAGUAAAAACCAGAAAGGUCAGGAAUGCUUAUUGAAUCUAACUUUUUUUUUCUUAUGGUUGAAAGUGGGAUGCAAGGAAACUUAAGUGACACAUAUACUGAAAUCCUAAGGGGCCAGGUUUUGAGGGGGUUGUACAACUGGAGAGGAGAAUUGUGUAGUAUUUUUAUGGGCGAAGAUGCAUGUAUUUUCUAUAUUGUUCUAUUUUGAAGCAAACGUUUACUUAUGGGAUUUUUUUUCUUAGAAAGCUGUUAUAGCGAUGCCUGGUACCUCGUUUUAAAAAAUGAUUUCAUAAUUAUGUAGAUUGGGCAGUUCCCAUCUGAGGCUCCUCCCCCAAGUUUGAAGCUUGUGCCUGGAAACUUUCUAUGUAUUUGGUGUGUACAUCAAAUUCUGUGAAGUUAGACUUUCAGAAAGCUUAUACUGGGAGGUUAAUAAUUUAUCUCUACCGAGGACUUAGAGCUAGAAGGGAAAAGGGGUGGGGGCAAAGGCUGAUUUUUAUUCUUCUAUUCAAAAUACAAGGACAGAUGCUUCUCUGUUCCAAGAGGGUUUCCUUGAGGAAGCUACUGAAGCAGAAAGACAUGAUGGAGACGAGAUCGCCUCCCCUCUUGUCAAAGUGUUAAAAAAAUGUUCUGUCUUACUCUGCGCCUAGCAUUGGAAAUGAAAGUGACAUUUACGCCACAACCCACGUGUGCGCCUCCUCUCUUUUUGUUUAAGGAUGAUCAGGUCUAUCCAGGAAACAGCUCUGGCAUCCCAAACUGAAAUAAUUAGGACGUAUAUAGACCUGACAAAAAUGGAAGGGGGUGGGGAAUCUGAGGGUCUGUCUUGCCUAAUUGAUUCCGCUAAACGGAAAGCAGGAGAUGUGAACGGCAGGACGCUCCGAUUCCCACGCUCGGGGGCAAGUGGUAAAGCCUGGCCGGCAGCCUAUGACAGACAGCCCUGUUGGGGGGUAGGGGGAUGAAAAAAACAUCAAGCGCACACACACCAUACUCAUCUCCAUCCUUAAGAAAGUAAAGGCAUUUCCCACCCACAGCCAUCUGCAGCCUUCCAAAUGGCAACACCAACUGGUUGGUGACUGCUACGCGUACUGUCUCUGUUAUUUUUUUUUAAACCUCUGUUUAAUCUGGCCAUGAUUAAAUUUGGUUUUCUCCUUUGGUUGAAAUUUUCAUUAUUUAAGGAAAGCAAGUGCCAAGACCAUCCCAGGACUGCAUGCCCUCCUCAGAGAAGUCCUCGGUAUGUGGUUAGGGCCUGUGACCACCUUUGGCUUUUGUUUUGGCUGUGUUAUAUUUAAAAGUCACAUCUCAUAGCCCUCCUUACUAUGACUUACUUCAUUGGGUUGUUUACUUCCUUGUGUGACACACAAGGACUUGACCUACUGAUGCUGAUCUACAUUCUGAAAAUAAAGCUGGAAAGGCAUCAGCCUAUAGAAAGUUGGUUGCAACCACAGUAUGUUAAAGAACUUGUUUUAAAAUAGUCCUAGCAGAAUGUGCUUUUUUUCUUUUCUUCCUCCUCCUCCUCCUCCUCUCCCUCCUCCUCCUCCUCCCUCUUCACCUAAAAGUAACUAGUCCCAGCAUAAACUUUGAGGUUUUGAGGAACCAUGGUAGUCCUUUUUUGAAAUUCCUUAUAUUCUGUUACAUUUUAUCAGGCAAACAUUUGUAUAGGCAUUUGCACAUAAAUAUAAGGAUGGCAAUGAAAAAAAAAUCCCCAAACUGCCUGUUAUCUUCCACAUGGCCUAAAUUACUGAGACUCCCAAAUGCAUACUUUUUCUUCAGGGACAGUACAUUUUUCUUUACAGCUUCAACCUCUUACAGGGUUGAGACUAGAGGAACCAGUAAAGCCACUGGUACUCCCAUUUAGAAAAGCCAAGAGACUUUAAUAACGUAAAUUCUCAAUUUGGCUGCUGAACAUGUGCCAAAGUUUUACGGCUGUAGUGACUGUCGAGAAGACCCUUGUUUAUUUACCUUUAAAGCACUGUUUGUGCAAACAAGCCUUCAUUGUUAAGUGCCUGUAUUCCUUUCAUUUGCUUCUUGUCCAGGGGUGCUAUUUACCUAGAACCAUUGUCUACUACAAUUAACAUUUACAUUACAAAGUGUGUGCUUUUCCUUCUCAAGGAGGUUCAAUUAAGGCAAUAAGAUGUUUGCUGGGGAAACCUAUUGUUUACUCAAAGCACUCAAUGGGGUCAAAUUACUGAAGUUUUUGCCUACAUCUUGGGUUGUUUAUGUAAAUAUGUUAACUAUAACAUCUAAGGAAAAUAAACAAUAUUAAAAUUAUGUGUUCGCCAUUGUCAUAUCCAACUUGCUUUGUAUCAUACUAAUGUUACAUAACUUAUCGAUCAAUAAAAAUACAUUUCAAUGUUA